UGAAUACUGUCAACCCUCUCAUAUUGUCACGUCGUGGGAUUAGCUUUUAUUGUUAUUUUCACAGAAUGUUUGUUGGAAAUAGCUUUGUUUACAAUCUUCCAGUAAAAAGUAAAUUUUUCAUGUUUUUUGUUCAGUUUUUGGUUUGUUUUUUAUAUUAAAUAUCAAUUAAAUUAAAUUUAAUUUAAAUUAAAGGCCCCUUGGUAUUGAUGUUUCAUCAAAAAGGAAUGGAAUCAUAAAGAAGUUGUAUUUCACCAUUUUCAUUGCUGCCAUCAUUUCCAUCAUUUUCACCAUUUUCAUCAAUUUCAUCAACUAUCAUUUCUUCAACAACUUCAUCCUCAUCAUUAUAUCCGGCUUUCCUCCAACUAUUGAUGAUUGUCUCUUUUGUAGUCUCAGACCACGAGUCAGUAAGCCAUUCUAAGGCAUCAAACAGAGUGAUGGAUUUGAUGAUCUCUUUAAGAUCAUCUUUAUUUUCAAAUUCAUUGACUAUUCUUGAUAAAAGUCUUUUCACAAAUUUACUCUUGAAAGAUUUUAUGAUUCCACUGUCCAAUGGCUGGAGAAAACAAGUUGAAUUUGGUGGAAGCCAAAAAAUUCAAUUAAUGGAAAAUUUUUUUCAUCAACUUUGUGACCAGCAAAAUUAUCCAAUAUUAAGGCAAUUCUGUCUCCUUUUUUCUCCAACUCCACGUGCCAUUUUUUUAUAUAAUUGAAAAAAAUUUCUUUGGUCAUCCAAGCUGCUUUAUUUGACUCUAAUAAAAGACCUUUUUGAUUUAAA